rnacentral:misc_RNA from 1 species
AAGGAGUCUAACACAUAUGCGAGUAUUUGGGUGGAAAACCCGGAAUGCGUAAUGAAAGGGUUACGGUGGGAUCUUCCGUGCACCAUCAACCGGUCUGGAUCUUUUGUGAUGGAUCUGAGUAAGAGCACAUUUGUUGGGACCCGAAAGAUGGUGAACUAUGCCUGAAUAGGGCGAAGCCAGAGGAAACUCUGGUGGAGGCUCGUAGCGAUUCUGACGUGCAAAUCGAUCGUCAAAUUUGGGUAUAGGGGCGAAAGACUAAUCGAACCAUCUAGUAGCUGGUUCCUUC